AGAGUGAACGCUGGCGGCAGGCCUAACACAUGCAAGUCGAACGGCAGCACAGGGGAGCUUGCUCCCUGGGUGGCGAGUGGCGGACGGGUGAGGACAACGUCGGAAUCUGCCUUUUUGUGGGGGAUAACGUAGGGAAACUUACGCUAAUACCGCAUACGACCCCGGGCCGGGAGGUUUGGGGUGAAAGCGGAGGACCUUUCGGGCUUCGCGCAGAGAGAUGAGCCGACGUCGGAUUAGCUAGGUUGGUGGGUAAAGGCCCAACCGAAGGCGACGAUCCGUAGCUGGUCUGAGAGGAUGACUCGACGCCACACUGGAACUGAGACACGGUACCACGACUCCUAACGGGACGGCAGCAGGUAGGGAAUAGUUGGAACAAGU
rnacentral:rRNA from 1 species